GGAAUUAUUGGGCGUAAAGAGCUCGUAGGCGGUUUGUCGCGUCUGCCGUGAAAGUCCGGGGCUCAACUCCGGAUCUGCGGUGGGUACGGGCAGACUAGAGUGAUGUAGGGGAGACUGGAAUUCCUGGUGUAGCGGUGAAAUGCGCAGAUAUCAGGAGGAACACCGAUGGCGAAGGCAGGUCUCUGGGCAUUAACUGACGCUGAGGAGCGAAAGCAUGGGGAGCGAACAGGAUUAGAUACCCUGGUAGUCCAUGCCGUAAACGUUGGGCACUAGGUGUGGGGGACAUUCCACGUUUUCCGCGCCGUAGCUAACGCAUUAAGUGCCCCGCCUGGGGAGUACGGCCGCAAGGCUAAAACUCAAAGGAAUUGACGGGGGCCCGCACAAGCGGCGGAGCAUGCGGAUUAAUUCGAUGCAACGCGAAGAACCUUACCAAGGCUUGACAUGAACCGGAAACGUCUGGAAACAGGCGCCCCACUUGUGGUCGGUUUACAGGUGGUGCAUGGUUGUCGUCAGCUCGUGUCGUGAGAUGUUGGGUUAAGUCCCGCAACGAGCGCAACCCUCGUUCCAUGUUGCCAGCGCGUAAUGGCGGGGACUCAUGGGAGACUGCCGGGGUCAACUCGGAGGAAGGUGGGGACGACGUCAAAUCAUCAUGCCCCUUAUGUCUUGGGCUUCACGCAUGCUACAAUGGCCGGUACAAAGGGUUGCGAUACUGUGAGGUGGAGCUAAUCCCAAAAAGCCGGUCUCAGUUCGGAUUGGGGUCUGCAACUCGACCCCAUGAAGUCGGAGUCGCUAGUAAUCGCAGAUCAGCAACGCUGCGGUGAAUACGUUCCCGGGCCUUGUACACACCGCCCGUCAAGUCACGAAAGUUGGUAACACCCGAAGCCGGUGGCCUAACCCCUUGGGGAGGGAG
rnacentral:rRNA from 1 species